rnacentral:misc_RNA from 1 species
CUGAUAUUGGCGACAGGAACCUGCACACUUGGAAAGACGAUGCUGGCCAACUUCCGCGGCGAAUUCGACGUCGGAAACACUUGUGGAAUGAGUUCCGGAAGUCCGGCAGAGGAGGCGAAGCCUGGGGAUGGCAGUUCUGGAAUUGGAGAGAGGAUAAGUUGUUCUAUAGAGAGAGAGAGAGUUUCUUGUUUGGUGAAAUCGUGGAGCUGAAGUGUUGUUUCUGGAUAAGAGGAGCGUAGGAGAAGAGAGGUCCGUAGCCAUCUGGUGGACUACUGGCAACGUUA